GUGUUUUAUACCCCACCUCCUAUAGACUUCUAGCUCGUUUGAGCAGAGUCCUCUUCAACCUAUCAUUCCUGUAAGUUUUCUUGUAAUUGUCCUGUUUAUAGUUAAAUUCCCCCCUCUUGUAAUAUUGUAAAGCACUACGGAAUCUGUUGGCGCUAUAUAAGUUGCAAUAAUUAUAAUAUUAAUAAAACAGAAAUAAAAGUAAAGAGUACAAUGUGUAAAAUACACACACAAAUGGGUGACUACUAGUGAUGUCCCGAACGGUUGGC